UUGUCAACUACCUUAUGAGGAAAACAGCAAAACAGAUUGUUAAAAACACCACCUGUUUUAAUAUUUGGCUAUCAUUGUUUAUCUCCUUACCAGCUUAUCCUGCUUUCUCUCUCUCUGGCCAGGCUGUCACUUCCACACCUGGGCCCUAUUUCCCUAAUCCAGGCUGGAAGGCACAAAGGCACACAGAAAGGAGCUGUAAUUUAUUGUGGCCAUGGUUUACAUAGAGAUGACAGAUCUAUAUAAAUAUGGAUCUGCUCCUUUCCCCCACUCUGUUGUGAGAAGAACCACCUUCCACCACAUCUCUUCUAAGCUCUGGACACUUGAAGGAAAGUCUCCCUCCUGCCCUGUGGCAUUUCUGUGAAAGGAGAAUGAGGAUGUGGCAGCAUCCACAAGCUCUAGCAGUGGAUGUUUGAAGGUAAAAAGCAAUGAGAGCAGACCCAGCUCAAUGCUCACCCUUUGAGGAGAAGAUGAAAGUGUCAAGAUGAUCCUCUCCUUAUCAUGCCCUGCACAAGGGAAAGCUUUGAAGAUACAAUAUGCAGAAACACUGGGCUCUCCUGUGACUCCUCCAGAUUUAAUUAGUCCAACCUUCUGUAUGGAUCCUGCCUCCCCCUCCAAACAGCCCUUUUUCCCCCUCCCCAGCCUCAGACAAGCUUCUGGACUCACUGGCAAAAUAGCAGCUGCUCAAGCCCUCAGUUUAAUUCAGAGCUUGGCUCUCCAAGAUGAGCUAAAAAAAAAAAUGCCACCCCAAAGAUGGAGCUGCUUUUAGCAUUAUACACGAGCUGCAACUGCCAAGGAAAGUUUAUCUUGGAGCCAAUAUGAGCUCUGUUGCUCCAAGUUAAAUAUUUCCAUUUAAAAAGUAGAAUGAACUAUACUGUGGGACUUCCAAUUGCUUCCUGAAAUAUUAAGAAGGAAUAUCUUUAAACAUUAAUAUUUUGUUACAGUGCUGAAGCCUUUCUAAGGGAGGGUUAUUUUUUAGAGCUGUAUAUUUUUCUCUGCAUAAUUGGAGCCUCUGAUCUGUGCCUGUACUCUGUGCUCCCAAAAGUCGCUAUACACCAGCAACCUUCCUUCCAAAGCAAUCAAUAAAAAUCCUUCUUUUUUCUCUUCCCUGCUAUUCCUGCUGCUAGGAGGCACAUGCCAAGGACACCUGUGUG